GAAAUGCGAUAAGUAAUGUGAAUUGCAGAGUUUUGUGAAUCAUCGAAUCUUUGAACGCAGAUUGCGCCCCUCGGUAUUCCGACGGGCAUGCCUGUUUGAGUAUCAUGAAAUCUUCAAAGUAAAUCUUUUGUUAACUCAAUUGGUUUCUACUUUGGUAUUGGAGGUCUUUGCAGCUUCACACCUGCUCCUCUUUGUUCAUUAGCUGGAUCUCAGUGUUAUGCUUGGUUCCACUCGGCGUGAUAAGUUAUCUAUCGCUGAGGACACUGUAAAAGGUGGCCAAGGUAAAUGCAGAUGAACCGCUUCUAAUAGUCCAUUGACUUGGACAAUACUUUUAUGAUCUGAUCUCAAAUCAGGUAGGACUACCCGCUGAACUUAAGC
rnacentral:misc_RNA from 1 species